rnacentral:lncRNA from 1 species
UCAGUUUGUGGAACAUAUUCUAUCUUAGCACAAAGACCUUGAUAAAAGACGAACGCCUCGUUGUCAUCGGUGUCAAAGGCACAAUCUAUUCCAUUGCUUCCAAAUUUUGUAUUAUCAAGCGAUGGAAACCCGUGGCGAACAAAAACAGGUCCAUGUAAAAUCUUAUCGUUGCUGGUUCCGGGAGCAUAAUCCAAAACCAAGAGCUUAUCAUUGAUGAAAAAGUAUGCUUCAUUUUUCCUAGAUGAACGAAAUACAGCAUUUAUGUAACCAGAUUUCGUCAUCUUAGGUAUAGUAAGGAUAGUGGGCAAGGAGGAAUUUUGUUCUUGAGUUUUUUUACGAUUCAAGGAAGGUUUUGUGAGCAAAUACAGGGAAGGGAAGAAGGAUAUAUAUAGACACACAAUGAUAAAAAUAAAAAAAUAAAAAAAUCCUUAAUUACUUCUUCCAGCAUUUGAUAAGAGGAACAAUAAAAUAUAAUAAAUCAUAUGCCAAAUGCCAAUGCGUUUGCAUAUAUUUAUGUAGUAGCAGUGCUGGCACAUGUGAUGAAAUUAAAUAACGGUCAAAUGCCUAGGUUUGUGGAUAACAUUGUCUUAUUAUUUAGGGUUUGUAUGCUAUAUAUUUUAUAAUGCAUCUAGUUUAAAAUUACAAAACAAAAAAUAUUGUUUAUAAUUCAAAUUGUUACUAGAGGUAGAUGUUGCACAUGGUUAUACCCUGUAUCCCGACACAUGUACUUUUACCCCAACACAAUUUUUUAAAUUCCAAUUUUAUCUUUUUUUUCUAUUUAACCUUUUAAACAUUAAUUUUUCACUUUCACUUUCAUUUCCAAUCUCAAUUGAGUAUGAGUUCACCUCCACAUGAUAUUCUUUCAUGUAUGCAUUUUCGAUAUUUAUCUUUAAUAUAUAAAACAUAUGGUAAAAUUUUCGGAACACUCAUGUGUACGUUUCCGAAAUAAUUGCUGGAUAAUCAACUUACGAUUUUCAAAACUUAUACCGAAAUGCUCUUUCAUUGCUUUCCGAAAUAAUAAACCGGAAAAGUAUACAUAAUAGUGUUCCGGUAAUGUCUUUUUUUUUUUUUUUUUUUUUUUUUAACUAAAACUGAAACCUGCGUUCAAACAUGCACAAAGCACUCCUUUUCUUGUUGAGUUCAUUGAUCUAUAGCAUAUUAUUUGUUUCUUAAAAAAAAAUAAAAAAUAUUUGUUCAAGUUACAACAGACAACAAAUAGCUUCAUUUCAUUGCAAAACUCAGCCUCCACAAAUCACUAGUCAUUAAAAGAAUUCCUCUCAUCAAAUUUUGUUGUACAAGAACUAAUAAUUGAAGUAGCAAUUGGCUCUAAGCUUUUCUUUUUUAAAUCUGCAAAACUUUAUUCCAAUUGGUACCACUUACACAAGAGUGUGUCAUGGCACUAAAGCUACAGUCUCCAAAACAAUUAAAAAGGUAAACAAAAAACUCCCACGAAUUGGAGAAAAGAAAAAGAGAAAUAAUAUUUGUACAACCACUUUGUGACAAUUUUUUGAAAAUUUUCUCUCAUAUACUCACAUUAUACUCUUAUUCUCUCUUUUCUUUUUUCUAUCUCCAUUAUUUUUUACCAAUGAAAAGAGAGAAAAAAGAGAUUGUCACAAAAGUUGUUUCAAAUAGAUGUUCAAAUAUCACUACUCAAAGAAAAAACCAAACCAAGGGGGUCCAAACAAUGAAAGCACCACAAUCCAAUAACACCCUUGCUGACAACAACGAAACCUUAGCAGAAAAUAAAAGAACAGGCGCGGAUGUUUUGCACAUGGUUUACGGAUAUCAACCGGAACGCUUUGUAAACACGAUUCCCAGAUGAUGGCAUUUCACCAAAUCGUCGUUUCCAGAACACGAUUCUUUUAACGAUUCCUAACCCACUAACCUAGAAAACCUUGAAAACCCUAGCAAAACACAAUCAAUGAUUUUGGUAAACAAUUAAGAGAACAAACACAUGAAAGAACACAUAAACAUGAAAUGAACAUAUGAAAGGAGGCUUAUACUGUUUAUUGGAAGCAGAAGCAAAGUAGAAGAAGUUUUUUCCAGAGAAAGGGGUGAACGCACAUGAGGUGUAUGUGGGGGUGAAAAGUGAAAAGGUAAUUGUGUUUUGUUUUAUAUAAAGGAUAAAUUUGGUAGUUUGUGUCAAAUGUUGGGGUGACCCCAUUUUUAAUCAUAUCCAAAAAGAUAUGAAUUGUAUUUCUUCUUUUUAAUAGAUUUCCUUUUUGAGUAAAAAAAAAAAAAAAAGAAGGUAUAGAUGUAGGGGUGUGGGGUAUAACUUCCGAUUUUCAGCUACUUAUGUGUUGAUCUCUUGUAUCCAUAUUAGAUUUCUUUCAUUUUUUAACGUUAUAUUACAAAAAAUCUAAAGAGUAUCUUUAAGAGCCUUAAAUAGUACUCUAUCAAUAUCAAACUAUUAAUCGCUUUAUAAUAUCAAUGAAACAUUAAUGUUAUUUUUUCUGUUAUACUUUUAACUAUUUAUUACUUUUUUUUUUUUUUUUUUAAUUCUUUAAUUUAUCUAUCCAAUACAAAUUAUUAAGGACAAUUUUGUAAAACAAUUCAUAGCAUCUUUUUACCAUACAAAAUUAAUUACAUUUCUUAAUAUGUGUGAAAUGUCCAAAACAUAUAAUAAUUUGGGACGAAAGUAGUAAGUUCUUAUAAAGAUUUAUGCGGUCAAUACAUUGAAAAUUGAGAUGUUUAACUUUUCUAAUGAAUUAUUUCUUAACUGAUUUUUAAGUAUGGCAUGUGAUGAAGAUAAGAUUGAAAUGCAUAAAUUCUCAUUUAAAUAAAUAUCACAUGGAACAAAGAAAAUGUUAUAUCCGACAACUUUAGCUGGCAGCACGCCUAAUUUUAAACAGGGUAUUUUUUAAUUGCAGGAUUAGCAUGAAGAAAUGAGGCUUUAUUUAAACAAACAUGUUUAAAAGCAUGGUGUUUAAAAAAUUAACAAAGUGCUACAUGAUUGCAACUUAAGAUUAAGAUUGGUCACAUGCAAACAUGUGCACUGUAUGUAUUAUAAUUUUGGCUUUAAAAAUGUUUAAGCGUUAAAACGUGUUUUGCACGUUAGUUUAACAUUUUUUUGUCGUGGCUUCAAUUAAACAUUUACCAAAGGUAAUACAUAUUCAUGCGUUCCACGUUUUUUUUUAUUUUUUUUAUGUAGGAUGAAAUUAGAAGAGGGAUCAACCGAGGUUACAUCCCUUCUAAACUCCCACAUUACAGAGUAGCACAUCAUUUUCACACUUAAACACUAAAAACAAACAUCAUCAUAUACAUGCAUAUGAACUCUCCUAACGACCUAUAUGAAUGUGGUACCACAUCUACUUACCAUUUUGCUAGAGUUAUAUUACUGGACUUUUCACCCACAUAGUUGCUAGAGGUAUGUUAUUGGACUUUUCUCCCAUGUUGCUGGACUUUUCUCCCACAUCAUGCAAGACACCAUGCUCUAGACUCUAUAUGAACACAAUGAAAUAUAUUCAACAAGUAUUGGACAUAUACACUUAAACACAUAGUCACAUAACCCACAUAUUAAUGCAAGACUUCCUCUAAAAUGCACGACACUAUUGCAAACACACAAAAUAUUACCACUCUCCUCAUCAUCAUAGAUAAACAUUGUUUCCCCUCUAUUUUAUUUUAUUAUUCGUUUUACGGACAUACUCUAUUCUCUCAUCUAUUCUUAGUCUCAAGAUGUUUUCUUAUUCUUUAUCAUUACAUACAACGUCUCCUCUCUAUAUAACUAAGUUCUUCCUCACCAUUGUUAUUAACUCUUUCAACUAUUAUUUAUAGGUAGAUAAAUUAAAAUACGCCCAAAUAACAGUGCUAAACACCUAUUAACCCUUAAAUAAUUCAGUUUUGUAGUAAAUAAAGAACAAUGUUUCAUGGAUACCCUUUUUCUUGCACCUCUCUUGUACACAUGCCCAUGUGGAUGGCAGUUAUGUAAUAUUGUUAAAAAGUCAGGGGUAAAAAUGAGUUUCACAUGUCCAUGUCUUCUAUCAUUCUCAACUCUCUCUUCUUUCCCUACUUUCCCUCUCGCUGCCGGCAUCACUCUCCAUGCUUACCGGCUUCCCUCGCAGCUCCACCAAAGUGAAUCUAGAAAGCGACGGCGGUGGCGACAUCGUCAGAAACCAAAAACUCAGAUCUAAUGUGUUUUUUUAUGAGACGGCGACGAUGAACCCACCACAGUAACCCCCUGUAACAACCACCAUAGUUUGUGUUUUUUCUUCGGAUCUAAUAUGACGGCGACGACGAAGUUGCAGAUUCACGUUUUUUCUUCAAAUCUAUUUUGUGAAAGGCGGUCGGAGUAGAGAGAUUAGGAGAGAGAAAAGGUAGUCUAAAAGUGAGUUGGUGACGGCGACAAGGCGGAGGGCGGUGGGGUUGGUGGCCGAAGACCGACGAAACCGUGGCCAGAGGCGGUGAGGAGGACGUCAGAAUAGUGCAGGAGGGUGGGAGGAAACAAAUUGGCGGAGGAGAGAGUGUGAAGGAAUGAGAUUUGACUUUCUUUCCUUUUCAUUUUUAAUUUUUAUUCUCAAAUGGAACAUUUAUUAUUUAUUAAUGUCAAAUGUGUGCCACAUAGGGGAUGUAUAGAGGGGUUUGUCAUGUAUGUAUCACCUCUUGUAAAUGACUGGUGCUAGUCACACCCCAAAAAAUAUAAGUUACACCCAAGAAUGACUAAUAUACCCUUUAACUAAAAUAAAAAUUUCAAAUCAACUAAAUUUACAUUAACGUAAAUUGAACAUAAGUAAACUUAAUUUACAUUAACCUAUAUUGAAAGUAAGUAAACUGAAUUUACAUUAACCUAGAUUGAAAAUAAGUAAACUAAAUUUACAUUAACCUAGAUUGAACAUAAGUAAACUGAAUUUACAUUAACCUAGAUUGAACGUAAGUAAACUGAAUUUACAUUAACCUAGAUUGAACAUAAGUAAACUUAAUUUACAUUAACCUAGAUUGAACGUAAGUAAACCUAGAUUGAACGUAAGUAAACUUAAUUUACAUUAACCUAGAUUGAACAUAAGUAAACUUAAUUUACAUUAACCUAGAUUGAACGUAAGUAAACCUAGAUUGAACGUAAGUAAACUUAAUUUACAUUAACCUAGAUUGAACGUAAGUAAACUUAAUUUACACUAACCUCUCACUUAAAAUCAAAUUGAUAGGCAUAUCUCAUACCAAAACAAACAAUAAACAAAUAGAAACUCAUCGAAAAUGAAAUUCAUGAAAUUCACUAACCUUUAUGAAUAUAGUACAGAUCAAUAACAAAGAUGUUAAUUCAGAUAUUGGUUGCACAUCUAUGGUGAUUUGUGGAUGAAAUGGGGUAAGGGUUCAAAAUGAUCAUAAAAGAUGGAGUUUUUAAAAUUUACAUGAAGAGGGCAAUUUUGGUAUUGUAAAAUUUUAAAUAAAUUUGAGUGUAACUUAUUUUUUUUGGGGUGUGACUAGCACCAGUCCUUGUAAAUAAACAAGUACUAACAUUUACCAUAAUUAACCUUUAUUUUUGAAAACAUUUUUGUUUAAAUAACAUAUGAAUACACAAGAGUAAUGCAACAACACUCUUUUUUGAAUGUUCUCUUUAAUAUUAACUCUUUUAUUGGUUUUAAAUCAUUUUGAGUUUAUACUUUUAAAAUUGAACUUACACAAAAUGGUGGCAGAUAUAUUGAUUUUAUUCAAUAAAAAAGUGAGUACAAGUAUUGGAGAGUUUGUGUUGCUCGCAUUCAACCACAAUCCUUGUCAAAAAUCCAUGGAUACACAUAUAGUAUUUGUUGUAUCGUAUGGGAGUAUCGUACACGAAUUUUAAAUUUGGUAACGUGGAUCGCAUGGGUGUUGUUGUCACUAUUGUAGUGGGGAAACGAAGUCAACCUCAUGUUAACACUACCCUCAGUCAGUCCCUGAAGAAGAAGAAACCCUUCCAUGGAUACUCUUCCUCGGCUCAUUUCUGUUUUCUGUCUCUUGCUCGUUUCAUCGAACACUUUGCGUGCGUUUCAACAAACCGUUUCCAUUGAUACUAUCACUGUUGUUAAUGUCUUUCCUCAUGAUCCUCAAGCUUUCACUCAGGUCAACUUCAGUUUUUUCUUUCUAUUUUUUUAUUUUAUGUAUUUGACUUUUUUUUUAAUAGUUCAAGUUGUUUGAAUAUUUUUGAUCAAAAUUGCUUGAGUGUGUAGUAACUGCCAUUAAUCUAUUUCUAUAGUAGAAGAUUAACAACAACAACAACCAAGCCUUUUCCCACUAAGGGCUUAUUUUUUAGCUUAUGAAAAGUAGCUUAUGCAAAUAAAUAGGCUUUUCCCACUCAAGUUCUGGAAACAGCGUCUUGUGUAAAACAAGGUAAGGCUGCGUACAAUACACCAAAUGGUGGGACCCCUUUCUCGGACCCUGCAUAUGCGGGAGCUCUAGUGCACUGAGUUGCCCUUUUAUAAGUUUAUACUAACGACAAUUAUAUCUUCCUAAGUCGUUUUUUUUAUAAACUACCUCGACAAGCUUUUGAAUAAUACAUAAAAACUUAUUUAUUUGCAUAUGCUGUUUUGUAUAAGCUCAAAAGUAAGUUAAGCCAAAUGGACCUUGAGUGGGGUCAACUAGAUUGAUUAAAUUACGCUAUAAUGUUCUAUUAUAAACCAUAUUUCAGUAAUGGUAAAAAAUUAAAUUACAUUUUAUUUUUGUAUAAGCUAUAAUCUGUUUUCAUAAGUUUUAUUGGAUAACUUAUGAGAAUAAACUGAAAGCAGCUUUCGAAGAAUGUCAUAAGUUCUCCCAAACAGUCUCACAAAACAUAUGCCAGUAGGUACGCUCAAAUAAGCCAAUCAAAGCUGGCCCUUAAUAAAUUUGAUAAUUGAUUCUAUUGGAAAACCUCGAAAUAUAAGCUUUUGGGUAGACGUGAGUUUGGGGUUAGAAUCAAUUUAGGAAGGGAAGUCAAACAUAACUAAUUUGUGGUCAAACCUAACCAACCCAAAUGGAUUGUGAGAUGUGUGACUGUGGAACCAAACAUAGACUAGUUUUAUAUAAUUAUUUAUUUACCUAAUUUUUUUGGUGUUUAUAUUAAAUUUUUAGAAGUAAGAGAUGUACACUAGAGUUAGUUAAGAAUUUGGAUGCAAUGCUAAGUUUUCUUUAUUGUUAAUGAUGAUUAUAGUUCAAGCCCUCUAAUGCUAUACUAGACUAUGGUUCUAUUCAAUUUCCAUACGUGGUGAGGAGUACUGCAUAAAGCAGUUGAAUUAGAAUUAUUGAAGUCAGAAUGUGAGUCAUCCAAUCUUAAUCCAAAGGUUUUGAUUUGCUUAUGUAAAGGUCCAACCAUUGAAUCCUGCGGUCACUGCAUUCAACGGAUUUAAGCCAUUAGAUAGAGAUUAGACGACUCACAUUGUAACAUUAGAAAAUAAGUAAUUUAAAACAUGUGAAAGGGAGGGGUCUUGCAUUGUAUUUUCAUAUAUUAUUUGAACAAAACCCGAAAUUGUGAAAAUUUGGCUGUGAACACCUUAUUUCCUGAAAAUGUUAAUAGUUAAUACAUCAUGUAGUUCUAGUGAAUCCCAAAUGUUAAGUCGCUAAUUUUUAGGCAACAUACACCUUAGUCUAUAAGAAAGACUAAUAUAGAUGGUAUUUGUUGUUUGACUAAGGUCGGGGCUAUUUAAAUUCUUAUGACCUAUACACGUUGAGCAGAGGAGAAAACAUAAGAAAGUGCAAGUCAUUUAAAGAGAAAAUGUUCUCUCAGACUGAAUCUAUUUCUCAUGAAAUGAAUCCAAAAUUGCUUUAAUCUAUUUAUAGGAAUGUAGCUCAUGUAACUGAAUCUAUUUAUUGACUAGAACUAACUAUUGUUGGACGCCACAACAGUACACUUUGACACAUUGAAGGGCCACUUGUAAAAUUUCAGUGAUGUACAUGGCAACUUGCUUGGAUGCCCCAGCUAACAUAAGUAGUACAUAAUCUAUUUGAUUAUUGCAUAUAUUGAGUUUUAUGCCAAGAAGAUAUAUUUUCAAACAAUUUUUGAAGUUUUUAGUUAAUGCUUCUCUCUGAUUGUUUGAUUUCAGGGUCUUCUUUAUGCUGGAAAUGACAGCUUAUUUGAGUCAACUGGUGAUUAUGGGAAGGUAAUGUUAUUCAUUUUCUUUUGUUCUGUUGCUUUUUUAUUAGCUUUUUUUCUUUUUCAUUACUACAGCUGUUGUGGAUGGAAAAUUGUGUAUUCUUGAAUUUGAAAGUAGUCAGUUGACAUCGGUCGCCUCAAUUUGUUUAUUUUGUUUAAAGAACGAUUAUAAUAUUUUGUUGAGCUUUAACCUUUGUAUGUUUUUAAACUUAAAGAUUGUUAUCUUUUGACCUGGUGGUCAUGGGUUACACUCACAGAAGAAACAACUUUGCUGAUGGGAUUGGGCUCAGCAAAGACCAGAGCUUAGAAUGGUAGGAGCCUUUUUCAUAGGGCUGCUAAAAUGAUUGUAGCAUUAGUUGGUAUCUAUGAAGUGCCAUCAAGGACACGGAUGCGAGACAACACAGAUAAUGUGCUUUGGCUUAUGUUUGAGUAUCUUAGUUUAUCUUGUUGGAUCGGUUUGUAAUCCAAGAGUAUUUUAGAUUACCCUUUAAGAUUAGUUUCUCCUAAUAGAAACAAACCAGUGUUGUCAAAUAUCGGUUAUGGUGGAUAUCGGUGGCAGGCAGGUUUUUUUAUUUUCCACUAUGGCUAUGGCGGCGCCUUUUGUCGGCCGGUAUUGUCAGAUUUUUGACUCUCUGCCAUGGUCUGCCAUUGAUAUAUAAUAAAGCAAAAUCUGCCAUUGACAAUACUGAGACAAACAAGUUUUUUCAAUAUAAAUUCUUUUGAAAAUCAAAAGCUUCAUCUAUGGUUUGAUCUGUUGUCCUGAUUAACAGCAAUGACUUGCUACUAUAUGUCCAAUGUGCUGUUCUAGUUUGGAAACUGGAACUCAUCUCCUUCUACACUGUUCUGCAGUGAAUUAUCGAUGGAAUGAGCCAUUUGGUAUUUUGGAGAGUAUUGGCAUUAGUUUCUUCUCGUUAUGUUAGAUGGUUUGCCUUUGAGAAAAUGCUAUCUGCCAAGUCUUUGCUACAAUCUAGUGUUUCUGGCUGCAAAGAAAUGCAAGACUAUUCAAUGGCUCUCUUUGAAGCCUAUAUUUUGUAUGCGAUAGGGUUGCUUUUUAACUUCUUACUAGAGCUGUGCUUGUGGUUUUUUUAAAGGCGUGUCUCCUACACAUGAUUUUUGUUUUUUUGACAUGCUUUUGUUACAUGAUUCAAUCUCUUACAUUUUAGUUGUUUAUGCUGUCUUCUUGUGUAGUCUUAUUUUCUAUCUUUGCUUUCGUCCGUUUGUCCUUUAUAAAAUAUCUUCCUAUGUAAAAAAUUAAUACUUCUAAAAAUGGGCAGCCUGAUGCAUUAAAGCUCCCGCAUACGCAGGGUCUGGGAAGGGGUCCCACCAUUUUGGUAUAUUGUAUGCAUCCUUACCCUUGGCGCAAUUGGUAAAGUUGUUGUCAUGUGACUAGAAGGUCACGGGUUCAAGUGCUGGAAACAACCUCUUGUGUAAAAAAUAGGGUAAGGUUGCGUACAAUACACCAAAUGGUGGGACCCCUUCCCGGACCCUGCGUAUGCGGGAGCUUUAGUGCACCGGGUUGCCCUUUUUUUAUGCAUCCUUACCCUGUUUUUUUCCCAGGACUUGAACUCGUGACCUUUCAGUCACCUGACAACAACUUUACUAUUGCGCCAAGGCUCUCCCUUUAAAAAAUUAAUACUUCUGUGGCACAAUAAUCUUUUCAGCUGUUGGUUAAAAACAUUGCAUUCCGAUGGGGUUUCUUUCCAUAUAAUUAACGAGGGCCAGUUAUUGUUAAUUGUGCUUAGAUUUACAUUUGAGCUGGGCAAAAUCCCUUUCAAUUCUCGAAAGCUUUCUCUGGCCCGAUGUUUUUUUACUUGAAUGCGUGAAAUACAAUUUAAGCCGAAUUGGUAACUUUACUCACUUUGUUUUGGGAAUCUUCUUCAUGAUUAAGGCAUUAAUUUGUUAUUCAUUCUGAUAGUUUGCAUUCAGUACGCUCGCUGCACUGCUUAUUCAUCAGUCAUUUAAGACAAAUAUGUUCAAAUGGUAAGAUGAAUAUGAAUACGACCACUACCGGUGCUAUCUCUUAGACAGAGUCACCAAGCUUUUGUCUAAUUAUAAAAUACUGUUAAGCAUGAUUAGGUUUGUUUUCUAAUUAUAUUCUUAUCAUUGUUUUCUUAGACAUGGAAUUAAUGUUUUUAUAUAUUUUUUUGAAGUAUUAAUGUUGUUUUUAUGUUUAGUAUUUGUUUUACAUUUUUAUCAUUUGUUUUUUUCAGUCCUCUGUCCGUAAAGUAGCUCUUCAUACUGGGAAGGUACUAACUCCUACUUCUUGAACUCUUCCAUGUACUUUUUUGAGUUCUUUGUUCAUUAUUGCUUUUUGAGAGUCCAACACCAGAUGAGAUAUGACCUGAAAAUAGAUUUAUAAGUGGGAAUCAUCUCUCACUUUACAAACCGGUUUUACAAGGUUGAAUUAAGCUCAGCCUGAAUUCUAAGAUGGUAUCAUUGUCUAUCCAAGAUUCGUUAAGCUAACCUCAAUUACGCCAAGUGUUGGGUCUUAAGGGUGUGUGUUGAGCAUCCCACGUAUCAGAUACAAUCAUACAACCUAAAAAUAAGUUCUCAAGUAGGAGGUAUUCCACACUUUACAAUCCUGUUUUGUAAAGUUGAAUUAUGAUACAUUUAUAUGAAAGAGUUUUCAGUUAUUAUACAUUUCUCCAAAUAAUUUUUUCUAUCCAUAUUCCCCCUGAAUUACAAUAAAGACUUUAUGGUGAUAACUGUUCAAAGGGCAAUUGGAAGAUGUAAAUCUUCAGAGUGUAGCGGUGAUAUUUCUCUGGAAUUUGGUUUCUUAUGUUUUAUUGGGCUGGAUUUUGGUUCCCUUUGUAAGAUUGAUUAAGAUUCUGGAUCCUAUGCAUCUGAAAAUUCAGAAAUUGAAUCACUAGAAUGUGAAGGGUUGUUAGUGGAAGUUACCCCAGUUAAUGUAGGAUCAAACCCAUCUUUAGAAGUUAGGGUAAGGGAAAUAAGUCUCUUCAAGCUCCUAACCUUACUCUCGACUAGAAGUUAGCGGCUGAAAUUAGUGGUGACAUUUUGAGAUUGAUUGAUUCUGAAAAAGAUGCAAAUGUUGUAGCUUGUGUAAGACAUGUGAAAAAUUUAGUAUAUUUAAGGAAAAAAGAUCAUUUCUGAAGACCGUUCAUGAAUUUACACAUAUCUACACAUAUUAUUUUAUUUUAUAGCUGUUUUUUGUAAGAGGAUUUUAUAGCAUUAAAAAGACCGUUCAUGAAUUUACAAAUAUCAUUUUAUUUUAUAGCUGAUUUUUUUUAGAGGAUUUUAUAGCAUUAUCAAUGUUGAGUACUUCAUUAAAAGUAAUCUGAGCUCAAGUCAUACAUAAUAAUGAUGAUGGUAAUUAUUUCUGUAAAAGAAAAUGAAGAUGAUAAUUAUGUAUGUUUUGUUUUUGAGUGAAAAAAGUCAUACAUAAUUAUCAUCACCAUUCACCAUAACAAUUUAAAAUAAAAAUAAAAAAUCCCUUUAAAAUACUGUGAUGAACAGUAUCUCGGGCAUCUCCUCCAACAGUUUCCUCUGGUUACGGCAUUCAGGGUUGCAAAAUGCCAUCUCACCCCCUGGACAUGUUAAAGAGGAUGGACAUGUUUUCCUCAUCUUACUAGUUAUCCUUUUGAGAACCUUUUGAGUAUCUGUUUUUACUGCAAGAAAAAUCUUGAGCAGAUAAAGAUAUCUAGAUGUACUGAGAUGAGAUGGCAUUUUGCAGCCCUAACUGCAAAAACUGAAAGCCAAGACUGGGAUAGCUGCGCAAAAAAUUGAGAGGAAUAGAAAGAAAGGUUGCGAUAUUGUUGUCCACGGUAAUUUGAAGGGGUUUAUUUUAAUUUUUUUUUUUGGGUGAUGAUAACUAUGUAUGACUUUUUCUUUACUAAAAAAAAUACAUAAUUAUCAUUUCCAUUUUAUUUGGUAAAAAUGCUCAUCUUAAUCAUGUAUGAUUUGAACUCACGUUAUUUUUGAUAAAGUACUCCACAUAAUAAUGCUACAAAAAAAGGACGUGUGUCAGUUCAGAAAUUGUAUUUUUUCUUGUAAAUACUAUAUACUUCCCAUGUCUUACAUCAACUCCGACAUUUCCUUCUUUUUCAAGAUCAACUGUGGUGUCACCAUUGUUACAUCUAGUUUCACCCUCGACUUCUGGUCUGAGAGUAAAGUCGAGAAGUAGAAGAGACUCAUCUUCCUUACAUAUAUUCAUACCCUUAAGAUGAGUUUGAGAGCAAAAAAGAAAGUGUGGUAUUCUUAUUUUGUUUUGAAGUAUAGUUCAAGGCAAUGUCACAGGGGAUAUGUAAACUAUUAUGACAAAAAGCAUCUUGGAAGACUCGAGGAUAAAGAGUGAUGAACAAAUGAGACUCUAUUAUGAUAAUAAAUCUGCUAUUAGCGUAACUCAUAAUCCAGGGCAACAUGAUAUAGCUAAACAUGUUGAAGUUGAUAAGAUGAAUUAAAAAAAUUAAAAAUAAAAAUAGGUUAUUAAUGAGGAAAUCUUAGGUGGGCGGUAAAAUUUCCUUCAAUAAGAUAGAAACUUUAAGUAAUAAGAUCAGAUAAGAUAUACAAGGAUAUUUUAGUAAUUUACUUAAUUUAUUAUCGGGUAUGAGUACCCGUGGGUAUGGUUAUAAUCAAAUCCGUGUCCGUAUCCAUAUAAAAAUGGGUAGUCAAAUACUCAUUUAUUAUACUCGUGGAUUCCCGUUUACGUACCCACCCUAUGCCCAUGACGGAUUUUACCCACGGGUACCCGUGGGCAUGGGUAUUUUUGCCACCCCCCACUUGGUUAUCUGUGAUGAGCAGUUGGACAUUUCAAUGAGGGUGUAUAUAUAUAUAUAUAUAUAUUAGUUAGGGAGUAUCUCAUAAGUUGUGUGCAUGUUGCAUUUGAUUGGGUUUGUAAUUUGGACACCGAAACGUUAAAGUUUCAUAUAUUUAUUCUUUGUGCAAUGUGCAGGUUGAGAAACUUCAGAAGAUGGAUGAUUCGUUAUUUGGCGAAGGUUUAACUCUCCACGGUGACAGGUGUGUAAAGAAAUUAUGUUGCAUUUUUUUAAUUUAUUUUGAUAAAUAAACUUUGACAAAGGUUCUAUUCUAUGAUGCACUGACACUGAUACAGCCAUUAGAUACGAUAUUGACACAUCGUCACUCAUAAUAAUUUGAUUGAGAUACUAAAUUAAUUAGAUGCAGUCACUUGUGUUGGUGACUUUGAAGCACAUACACAAACACGAAAGAGAUAGAAACACUGAACAUCGACACUGAUAAUAAUUUGAAAAUGACAUAAUUGAAUGCUCACAUGUGUCGGUGUCAGAUACUAACACGUGUCGGAGUUGGACACCGGACACACCUUUGAUCAGAAGUGUCGGUGCUACUUAGGUUCUAUUGUAGAGAGAUCAAAAGUAAAGUAAAUUUUAUAUUUUAAUAUUGUUUAUCUGGAAGACACAACUGUCUUCAAUAGUCAGACAUUUUCGUUAAAAUUGAUAUUUUCGAAGUCAGAGUAGAUGUUGGUGAAAUAAAGGGCUAAAUGAUAAUUUGUUGUUUGCUGGCAACUAAAUCAAAAGCUGAUGGCAAGCCCAUUAGAACUGAGCUUUGCAGGAGUAAAAUAGACUGCAGCUAUGAUGAGCUUCUUUUUUGGGUGACCUAUGCUGUGAUUUGUCAUUGUUGGUAUACAAUAAUAAUUUAGUAAUUAACUCUUAGUUUUAGGUCAUAUUUAUGUCCAAUAACUAUAGACCAUGACCUGAGUGGCCCAAUAGUAGGAUGGCUCUUGGAUAGGUUCUAAUGCCAUCUUAAAUAGGAGUGCAUGAGCAACUUGCAUACUAUUUUUCUUUUGUGGGAAUCUCAACACUCCCCCUCCGCCAAGGACUGGAUUCCUAGACCGUGACCUGAGUGGCCCAAUAGUGGGACGGCUCUUGGAUAGGUUCUAAUACCAUCUUAAAUAGGAGUACCUGAGAAACUUCAAUAUUAUUAUUUUUCUAACACCCCCCCUCCACCAAGGACUGGACUUCUAGACUGUGACCUGAGUGGCCCAAUAGUUGGACGGCUGUUGCAUAGGUCCUAAUACCAUCUUAAAUAGGAGUGCCCGAGCAACCUCAAUAUUAUUUUUCUACAUUAAAAUUAUUUUAAUUGUCUUUUAGUUCUUUUUGGUAAAAAAGUUAUUCGUACUAAAAUUUAAAAUAUUUACCAAUUUUGAUUGCUAAACAUGAAAACUGUCGGAUGACCCUGAUUUUUUAUUUUUUAUUUUUUUUGUCAUAUCAUUAUUUAAUAUUUAUUUAUUUCUGGAUGCUGUCAGUAUGUUUACUUUACCUUGAUCCCAUUUUAAUGUACUUUUGUUUUGGACAAACGACAUUUGUUAAUAAUUAUUAAUCAUCAAGUUAUUUCAACUAUUUUUGUUGUUUAAAAUUAUCCUAAUGCCAUUAUCUGGUGCUCUUUUUGUAGGCUGAUUCAAGUAGCUUGGUUGCAGACAAAUGGCUUCAUCUAUGACCCGAAAAAUUUAAGCGAAGUUUGUUGCUUUAGCUACCUACUCGUGCAAUAAUUUGUCUCUGUCAUGGUUUGAGAAACUCUUGAAAUUUUGAUUUAAUGAGACUACUAAGAAAAGUAGCAUCAUUGUGAAAUUAUUGAUUAUAUGCAAUCUGUCCUUACUUUUCUGCAUGAUUAAAUCAUACUUCAAGUUUAUUCUGUGUAAUCAUGCAUGUUUUGAAUUUAUUUUUCACUUUUAUUAAUACAUAAACUACUUUGCUUCUUUGGUAGCUUCAGUUUGAGUGUUCUUAACAUCAUGCUUGAGGUUGAAAGUUUGAUUGACAUGUAAACUGUAGUAUAAGCGUUUUCAGAUAACUGUUAUAUCUGAUUCAAACUCUUCCCUGGCAGAAAAUGUAGAUCUUGUAAUAUUGAUUUCAUUAAAACAAAUUGAAUAUUUAUACAAGCUGGAUAGGUGUAAUAUAUACUCAAGUUGUUACCUGUGGUGCAGUUUACAUGCAAGGAUUUUGGUGAUACCAAACUUGUUUUUGUUUGAUUGUUUUUCCAGAGAUUCUCUUCUGUACAGGGGUGAUUGCCUCACAAUGCCUAGUAAUACUGCGAGCCAGAUCUUAACUGCUUACUUUGACAAUUUCUGUAGAUUGGGACAUUUAAUCAUGACAUGAAAGAUGGUUGGGGUCUCGCAACUGAUGGAAAAGUCUUGUUUGGAAGUGAUGGCAGUUCGUCAUUGUAUAAAAUUGAUCCUCAAACAUUUAAAAGUCAGUCUAACGAAUUAAAUUUUAUUUCUUUCGUUUUACUAUUUUAUAAGCAGAAUCCCUUUAUCAAACCCGUUUGUUUCUAGCUUUUUAACUUGACAAUACUUUGUUUUGUGUUUCUGUGCUUGCCUUGCAUUUUCAUGGAACUUACAUUUCUUUCUUCAAUGAUGUAGCUGUAUCAAAACAAGUUGUCUACUAUAAGGGUCAUCAAGUACACUUUCUCAAUGAACUGGAAUAUAUAAAUGGUGAAGUUUGGGCAAAUGUUAUUCCGGUAUGUCUGAUGUUAAAGCAAAUAUAUCUCUUUCCUUAAAAAUGUGAAGAAAAAUGUUUGCCAUGUAUGGAUGAUUUAUGCGGCCUAAGAUUCUCUAUUAAUCUGGAUUUUGUUUGAAUUUGAUUUUUCUUGUGUAGACGGACUGUAUUGCGAGAAUCUCUCCUAAUGAUGGUCUUGUCGUUGGAUGGAUUCUUCUCCAAAGUUUAUGGUGUGACAUCUGUUUUCCUUUUCAUUUAAAUAUGUACUAAAAUAAAUGCUUGUGCAUAUGUAUGGUUUGACAAAACGAAGUGAAUCCUGAAUUUGGUUCUUCAGUAGAUUAACAACAUUAAAUUGGUCCUCAAUGAUUUUAAAUCACAUGCAAGACAUUGUUCCUAUGUGUUAGAAGGUGAAAACCUUCAUUGAUGAAGAUUGAAACAGAAAACGGUUUGAGAGAGGAGAGGAGAGAAGAGAGAGAAGAGAUAAAUUGUGUUUGUUAUUAUUAAUUGAAUCUCCUGAGAUUAUACAUAUUUAUAGAUGCAUAAUAGAUGCAUAGGAUAGAUAUGUGACAGGUGUCACAAUCUAAUAGGCAAUAUAAACUUUAGUUACUAAACAUUACAAGCUUAUUCUAUUCUCCUAACAUUCCCCCCUCAAACUGAGGGUGUUGUCAAACACUCUAAGUUUGUCUCUGAGAUAGGUAAACCUUGUUGUAGAUAGAGGCUUUGUCAAAAUGUCUGGCCAUUGAUCUUGGGAAGGGACAUGAGAAACCAUAAGAGUCUUGCUGAGGACUCUUUCUCUGACAAACAAAAUGUCUAAUUCCAUGUGCUUGGUCCUGGAGUGAAGAACAGGAUUGUGAGCAAGUGAGACAGUACUCAAAUUAUCACAAUAAAUCUGAGGAACCUUGCUUGGGAUCUGAAGCUCUUGAAGAAGAGAUUGUAUCCAAAGAAUCUCUGCAGCUGCCUGAGUCAGACUUCUGUAUUCUGCCUCAACACUUGACCUGACAACAAGGAUUUGUUUCUUAGCCCACCAUGAAACAAGAUUAGGUCCCAGAUAUAUACAAGCACCUGAAGUGCUUCUUCUAUCAUCUGGAUCAGAGGCCCAAUCUGCAUCACAAAAUUCGGUGAUAGCAAUAGGUUCAGUGGGAACAACAACUUUGAUAACCAAGCCAUGAUUUAUGGUUCCUUUGAGAUACCUCAGAAUCCUUUUGGCUGCCUUCCAAUGCUCUUCUAAGGGAUCCGAGAGGAACUGGGACCUUGUUUACAGAAUAGGAAAUCUUUGGCCUUGUUAUAGUAGCAUACUGAAGUGCUCCAACAAUUGACCUGAAGAAGGUAGCAUCUUGUACUUGACUGGAACCAUACUUGGAGAGUUUAGUGCUAGAUUCCAUAGUAGAUGCCAUGCUGUUUGCAUUUUCCAUAUUUGCUUUUGCUAAGAGAUCAGUGAUAUAUUUUGUUUGAGAGAGAUGAAGUGAUCCAUUGGAAGAAUGGUGAACUUCUAUCCCAAGAAAAUAAUCAAGUGUCCCCAGAUCCUUGAGGGAAAAUUCUGCAUUAAGUUGUGACACUAGAUUCUGUAUGACAUCCUUAGAAUUUCCAGUGAUGAUUAUAUCAUCAACAUCUACCAACAUGUAGAUGCAGUAGUUCUUGGUGUGAAGUAUGAAUAGGGAUGGAUCACAUUUACUUGACUUAAAACCAAAUUUUAGCACAACAACCUUUAACCUUUCAAACCAUGCUCUAGGAGCCUGUUUGAGUCCAUAUAAGGCCUUGUGCAGCUUGCAGACAAGAUUUUUAUUAGAGGACUCAAAACCUGGAGGCUGGUUCAUGUAAACCUCUUCAGUAAGAAAAUUAUUGAGUAAAACAUUGUUAAUAUCCAAUUGUAGAAUAGCCCACUGCUUUGUGACUGCAAGAGUGAGGAUAAUUCUCACUGUUACUGGUUUUACAAUUGGUGAGAAUGUUUCAUAGUAAUCAAAACCAUGCUGCUGAUGAAAACCUUUGGCAACUAAACGUGCUUUGUACUUGUUGAUACUGCCAUCAGGGUUUUCUUUGAUCCUGAACACCACUUACAACCUAUUGCUUGUCUGUUAGGAGGUAAGGAAACCAGAGACCAUGUAUUAUUAUUUAACAAUGCAUUUUACUCAGUUUGCGUAGCAAGAUGCCAGUUGUGGUCCAAUAAGGCUUGUUUAUGACUAGUAGGUUCAAGGCGAGUAAAAAGAAGAGUAGGGUUCGGUCUAGGCUGAACAAUGCCAAGCUUUCCUCUAGUAGCCAUGUAAUGAGUGUUGAGGGGGAUAAAUUCUGUGUGGUUUGGGUGGUGGGGUGAUAGGUGUAUUUGUGGAGGAGCUAGAUGGUGUGUUGGAAGGAGAAGGUGAUGGAGAUAGUAUGUUAAUGGGUGUAGGAUUGAAAACAUGGUCAGGACUGUAAUACUGAUAAGAGUCGGUAUGAGACAUAAGUGUCAAAGUGGGAGAUUGCUGGUUUUGAGUAGCAGAAGUUUGACCAUCAGGAGACAAAGGUGAAUUUAUAAUAGGAGGUGAAAUAGAGUUAUGAGAGGAAUAAGGAGUGGUCUGAGGAGUGGAGUUUGUAGUAGGUGAGGAUGAUGUAAUAGAAAUAGGAAGAUGUGUAGAAAGAAAAGAUGAUAGAGUAGGCUCAUCAGGGACAAUAUUAUAGUUUGAAGAGGAAGGGAAAAGUUCAGGAUAAGGAAACCUGACUUCAUUGAACACCACAUCCUUUGAAAUAAAGAUUUUGCCUGAAGAGUCAAGGCACUUAUAUCCCUUAUGGGAAGGAGAAUAGCCCAGAAAUAUACACUCUUUCGAGUGAAAAUAAACUUUUUGACUAUUGUAAGGUCUUAAGAAAGGAAAACAGGCACAACCAAAGCUUUUAAGGAACUUGUAAUCAGGAAAUUGAAAGAUUAGGAGUAAGAAGGGUGACUGAUUAUUUGAGGUAGGAGAUGCUAAUCUGUUAAUGAGGUAAUAGCUGUCAGGAAAGCAUGGUCCCAAAAUUUGAGGGGCAUUUUGGCUUGUGCUAAGAGAGUUAAACCAGUUUCAACAAUAUGCCUGUGUUUUCUCUCAACUGAUCCAUUUUAAUGGUGGGUAUGGGGGCAUGUAAAUCUAUGUGUGGUGCCUUGUUCAGUAAGAUAUUUGGUAAAGGGACGAAGUUCUCCCCCUCCAUCAGUUUGAACAGCCUUUAGUUUGAACUUCAACCGUAACUCUACCAUAGAUUUAAAAUUAUGGAAGGUGGUGAGAGUAUCAGACUUCAAUUUUAAGGGAUAUAUCCAAGUAUAUCUAGAAUAAGCAUCAACACAGAUGAGAAAAUAAGUAUAUCCACGGGAUGACUCAACAGGUGAAGCCCCCCAAAGAUCACAAAAUAUGAGUUCAAGAGGUGGAGUGUAUGAUGCAGUGGAUGCAAGGGAGGGGAGUCUAUACACUUUACCAAGACAGCAUGCAGAACAAAAGCCUGACAAAUUUUUAUUAGGUAAAUUCACGUGACAAAGUUUUGUUGCAGCUUUAAAAACCUCAUGAUAAGGGUGACCAAGUCUGCAGUGCCAAAUAAUAUAUAAAGAGGGAAAAGACUGAGCAGUAUUAACAUUGUUACACUGAAAUUGUAAAUUAGAAUUUGGAACACAGGGACUAGUAUGGCCAGUGCUACUAAAGCUUAUAACAUGAAGAAUUUCUUAUGUCUAAGCUAGAACUUGACUCCAAAGAGGAACUAGCUUUGAUAGAUCUAUUGCAGAGAAGAUUGACACUUGAGUUUGUAGUGGUAGGCUUGGACAAAGGUGCUUGUUCAAACUGGUACAAACCAUCCUUUCCAAGAGACCCUUGCAAAAGAAUUUUAUUAGAAACCUGAGAUUUGACAAAACACAUAUCAGGAUGAAACUCAAAGAAAACAUUGUUAUCCCUAGCAAAUUGGCUAACACUGACAAGACUUUUGGUUAUUGAGGGCACAAGAAGAAGAUUUUUAAGCUUAAGAGUGGUUUGUGGUUCAAAAGGAGAGGUGAAGUGCAUAGAUCCAAUAGAGGUGAUAGACAAACCUUGGCCAUUUCCAAUGUUGACCUGAUCUGUUCCAGAAAGAGACAGAGUCCAUCAAAUUUGAAGCAUCAGGAGUAACAUGAUUGGUAGCUCCAGAAUCAGGGUACCAGACAUUGGAGAAAGUGCUAUUGGUAUCAAUACCAGUGAGAUAGGCUUGAGGAGCUUGUGGCCUCUGAUUUCCAGGUACAGAGGGAUACUGAGCUCUGUAGGGGCACGCUGCAUUCCUUGCAUCCAAAUAUUGGGAGGUGGUCCAAGAAUACCACUAGAAGCACUAUAAACACCAGAAACACCAUAACCUUCAUAGGAAGGUGGAACAGAGAGGCGAUGGUAACAAAAUGAAGCAUCAUGCCCUGUCUUGUAGCAUAUCUGACAUUGAAUAUAAGCACGUCCACUGCCACGGCCACCAUGGCCUCUGAAACGGCCACCACGAGGUCCUCUGCCUCUGAAAUAGCCACCUCUACAUCCAAAAUUACCAUACUGAGCGUUACCUUGAGGAUUACCAUUAGAAUUCACACCAGGAAAGUAAGGAUACUGAGUUUGAGAAGGCUGAGUCUGGCUUACAGCACUUGGAUUUUGAGUGAGAUUUACAGAAGCAGAGUCAACAAUUAACGCUUUCUUGAAUUUUUCAUUUGCGCUUCUUGAGUAAGAAGUUGUGACUCAAGUUCAUGCAGAGAGAUAAUAUCAGAUCUGCUCUUAACACUUGCAACAAUAGGAUUGAACUCCUCUGGAAGUGCUUCAAGGACAAUCUCUAUGAGAUCACGCUGCGGAACAGGAUCUCCUAUUGACAUCAAAGACUCAGAAAUAGACCAAAUUCGCACAAAAAAUUCAGCAAUUGUACGCGUUCCUUUGGUAAUAGCUCGUAACUCCGAACGCAAUUGACGCGAACGAGUUUUCAUUUGUGUAAAGCAGUAAGAGUGAAUCUCAUCCCAAACCUGCCACGAAUGACGGAGAAGGAUGAAACACGAAAGCGGAGACGAUGAAUUGUGGAUAGAAUCCAUGUGCAAAGUAGAGAAUCUUGUUCUUCCUAUUCGGUAUACGGCGAAUUCUCUUUGCCUGCUUCGCGAUCCGCGUCGGAGAGAAAUACUGGAGGAAUUUGAGGCGAAACGACGAGUUUCACCAUUUUUCGUACCGUGAAGAACUCCUUCUACUUGCUGCUUCCAUUGCAAGUAGUUUGUAUCAUUAAGUUUCAGAGAAACUACUUGUUUGAAGGUUUUUGAUGCCGCCACAGUAAAGCGUUGUGCAUCAGAAGCAGAAGAAGACGGUUCAGGUGUGGACGCCAUGGUUCUGGAUCAAGAAGCUCUAAAUACCAUGUUAGAAGGUGAAAACCUUCAUUGAUGAAGACUGAAACAGAAAAUGGUUAGAGGAGAGAGAAGAGAGAGAAGAGAGAUAAACUGUGUUUGUUAUUAUUGAUUGAAUCUCUGAGAUUACACAUAUUUAUAGAUGCAUAUUUGAUGCAUAGGAUAUGUGACAGGUGUCACAAUCUAAUAGGCAAUAUAAGCUUUAGUUACUAAACAUUACAAGCUUAUUCUAUUCUCCCAACACUAUGAAACAUUUUUUGAUGAUUUUGAUGCCAAAAUUUUAUCAUUGGAGGGAUUACCAUACUGAUGCCAAUACUUUGUUUAGUUUAUCUUCCUUUACCUGUUGCUUACAGUUAUGUUUAAUCUUUUCUAUGCAGGAAAGAAUUAAUCGAAGCUGGGAAUACUGUAAGGAAUCUGAGCCUUUUGAUAUCUACAAAUAAUACUUGGUCUUAUUGUGUAUAGGUUAUAUUUUAUAAUGCAAUGAGUUUAAAAUAGGAUAACAAUAAUAAAACAAGCUUCUUUAAAUAAAGAAUUAUCUUAUAUAUUCCUGUUUCCAGAUCAAAAUUGUUAUUUGAGGUAGCUGCUGCACAUGAUUUGUAUUAGAAUAUGAAUAAUCAACUAUAGUUAGUUAGUAGGUAAACUAGAGUUAGUAGCUUGGUUAGAAGUUAGUUAGAGUUAGUUACUCAAACUAAUCUCUAUAUAUAGGAACACUAUUGUACUCAUUCAUCAUCUUUUAUCAAUCUAUUCAUUCUAUAAUGAGUUUCUAUGAGUAUCUCCCACAUGAGUACUCUUAUGCUUGCUUUCUUGCUGAUCACUAUGAUCUUUAUCCUUGGGAUUCCAUGAUUACUAACAAUUUGUCGCUUAUGUGGUGAUCAUUUAUAUUUCAGGAUAUUAAUGUUUUGAAUGGGAUAGCAUGGGAUGCUGAGCAGGAGCGAAUUUUUGGUAGGUUUCAGUUUUCCAAUUUAUUAUAAAUGGUCGAUUUUACCUUUUUUAUUUGAGUGUAUCAUUUCCAUUCUGUUCAUUCAAGACUUGUUUCAUUUUUUGAAAGCAUGACACGCGAUGAAAAUAAGGUUCAUAUUGAGGUGAAAACAGGUAUACAAAAGUGGUAUGCAUUUGAGUACACGGUUCAAUAUACUAGCGCGAAAUCUCUAAAAUACUGAAUACAAUGUAAAGUUGUUUUUCAAUAAUUUUAUACAAAACUUUGAAAACAUAAGCAAUGUGAAAACAGAUGGUAUUGUUAUAAGCAAAAGGUUUCUAAAGUUUGUUCUUAAUCCAAUGCCUGUUUGAUUUGUGAAAAGAUGUUUAUGUAGGAAACGAUGAAGACAAUUUAUUUUUCACAAAGCAGUUUUUUUCAAACCAAACAGGCUUUGUUGUUGUCGUCAUCGUUGUUGUUGUUGCAGUUGCUUGUUGUUUUCAUUCUGCUUUUAAGCAUUUGUGUAGGAAAAGGCGAAGACAAUUUUUUUACACGUUAUUUUGUAGAAAUAUUAUAAAUUAGUAAAUAAAAACAGAAGUUUUUUCAAACCAAUCAGGCUUAGUUUUCUUUUCUACAUUAAGUCUUCGUGACUUUUGUUCUUGGUUUCAGUGACCGGAAAACUGUGGCCAGAGUUGUAUGAAAUCAAAGUUACACCCAUAAAGUCAACAAUUGAGGAAGGAAUGGUUGAGAAGCUUUGCUUGCCCAAGCCUUUCAAUUCUGCAUGAUUUAGAAGAAUGGGCAGCCAAAUUGAAACUAUGAAGAUGUAAUGACAUGAUCCUAUUCGAAACAAAGCCUCUGCUACGAUUUUAUAAUAUCAUUUUCCUGCAGCUGGUGAAUUAAUCUUUGUAUUAUAUAGCUAAGGUUGUCAGUAACUGGAAAUUGCAAGACUAAAUACAUUUGAGAUGUCAUGUGUGCUGAACAAGAAUGAAAAUGAAACCCCAAAAUAAUGUAGAGUUUUAAGUCACAUUGCAAAAAAUUUGUCCAGUUUUUUUUGUCAGACAAUUGUCUAAAAUUACAAAGUCAUUUUUUUUUUUUUUUUUGUGGUUUCUGGGGUUUGAAUCCUUGACCUUGCAUAUAUUAUGCGUUGUCCUUACUAACCAAGCUAAGUUCACGGGGACAGUCAUUUUAUAAUAUGUUUAGUCAUUUUAUAAUCUUAAUAUAUAUAAAUGUUAAACAGUUCUAAAAAGUUUGCCCUAAUCCUAAUCCCGCCUUUUUUGGUGGGUCUGAAUAAUUUUUAUGAAAAAAAGAGUUUACAAUGAAUUGAACCAGGUACUAUAUGCUUACACUUUACAACUAUAACUACUAUGCCACUUCUAUUUUUGUUGAAAUAUUGUUUCUUCCAAAAAUGAAAUACAUGACUAAAACAUUUUUGUUAAAGCCCCAACCGCCCUAACGGUUUCCUCUCUCAUAACAAUUAUUUUUUAUUAUUAGCGGUAUCUUUAUUGAUAUUAGUUCUUUUUCAUUAUUAUUAUAUUUUUUUGGUGUACGCUAACUACGUGUUACGAUAAAGUUGCAUAUUCAAAAUUGUAGAUAAUUUGACUAAUCGGGAUGAUAAUUUUUUCAUUAGAAACUUCACUGGAAUUUUGUCGGCCUCUUUGUUUCUCCUAUAUUAUAUUACAUGAAGUUUUUGUUCUUACUUUUUAUUUGCAAAAAUCACUACUGUAAACUAUAACAUUACUUUGUUUUGGCAAAGUAAUGACUUUGAUUCCAUAUUAAUUUUUGUUGAUUUCCAUAUUAAUUUUUUUUUUUUUAUGCAAACUAAAUGUUUUUAAUUUGCUUCUUUGAAAUUGUGCUCACUCUCAAUUGUCACUUAGUUUGAUUGUUUAUAAGUUUAAAUGUAACUCUACAAUUAAUAAUAUAGCCAAUUUGAUAUUUUAUAUAGGCUUAAGUACACUUUUGAUCCUCGUGUUUUGGCCUACUCACGAAAAUGAUCCUGCCAUUUUAAAAUAGAACAAAGCAGUCCCUAUACUAUCAUGCUUUUUGCAAUUUUGGUCAUAACCCUCAUUUUGUCCUCCAAAAAUGCUCAUGUGUCCAUUAUUUUAGUGAUGUGGCCAAAAUUGCUCCUAUGUGGCAAUUUCCACAUGGAAAAUGUCGUUAACAUUUUCAUCAAAUCAAUUUUUUAAUUGGGAAAAUGAAUAAAUAAUUAUUUUAAAUUACAAAAAAAUUAGUAAUAUAUCCAGAAUUAGUUUUACAAAUGUUCUCAUAAUCAUCACCAUUACCACAGCAACUCUAUCUUCUACAUCUCUAUCUUCAACCUCAAUAAAUUAAAGCCAAAUUUUAUCAACAAAAAAAUAUCAUCUUGAUCUCCAUUGAUAUGGGUUUAAAUAAAAAACUAAAGAAACUUCAUCUUCCAUCACUCUCUAAAAAAAUAUUAUCUUGAUCUCCAUUGAUAUGGGUUUAAACUAAAUGUAACUCUACAAUUAGUUUGUGCAUCAGUGAUGAUUUGAAUGUGUUGCUAAAAAAAAGGUUACUGGAAAAUAAUUGUGGUAGUGUUUUUGAUAAAACUUUAGAAGAAAAAGGGUUUUGAUCUGAGAAAACUACUACUGCCGUAAAAAAAGUGUUAGUGGGAAUUUUUAUCUUUCUUUCAAUUUAUUUUAUUUUAUUUUUUGAAAUGUUUAAGUUUGUUUUUUAAAUUAAAAAAUGUUGUUUUAAUGACAUAUGUUAAUGUCAUUUUCCCAGUUGGCCUUGCCACAUAGGUAUUUUUUUGCCAUAUCAGCGUUUUUGGAGGACAAAAUGGGGGGUAGGACGAAAAAUAUAACAAAAAUGAUAUUUGAAUGAUGAUUUUGUUCUAUUUUAAAAGGGUAGGACCAUUUUCGUGAGUAGACCAAAACACGAGGAUCAAAAGUGUAAUUAAACUUUUAUAUAUGAAACUCUACUAAUAUGUUUAAUGUAACAUAAAUAUUUAUUUUUCUAUUACACAUUUUACUAUUUAUUACUUUUUCUUAAAACUAAUUUAACUUCUCUUUCUUAUACCAUCAAUGAAGGAUAAUUUUAUAAUGUCACUCUUAAUAUUUUUUCCAUGCAAAAUUGAUCAUAUUUUUUUAAUUUGUGAGAUUGUUAAAAGGACUUAUAAUUUAAGACAGGUUUAUUAUUUCUAUACUUUUUAAGGUGCAAAAUUGUUUAUCAAAGUUUAAUGGUUUAGUAAUUCUCUUUUUUUAUUCUUAAUGUGACAAUAGGUAACAUGCCCGGUCCAUUCUAUGUUGUUAAAAACCAUGUUUUAUUUACAAUAGGUAAUGUGACUAGUCCAUUCAAUGGUUAAGAAGUAAUUCACAUAUUUUUCUGAGAUUUUUUCUUAACAUUAUUAUUAAUCAAGUUUCACUCUAAAAUAUAGAUUUAACGAGUAAAAGUAGAUAUUGGAAAAUAAAUAUUCCCCAAUUUCAGCGUCAUUUAGGGUGCGUUUGUUUCGGCUUUAAAAAAAAUAUAUUUUGAAUUAAAAAAAUCUAGAUAUUUUAGAGAUUUUUUUUGAAAAAUCUGAUGCUAUUUCUGUUUGUUUACCAUCAUAAAAAUCAUUUUGUUUAUGAUUUAAAACUCUUACACUUGAAUUCCUUGUAUUUAGAAAAAAAAUAGAUUUUGGAAAAGCUACUUAAAAUAGCUUGUCGUUUUGAGGCUAAAAAUGAUUUUUUUGCAAAAUGGAUUUUUUAUUAUGGGCUAAAACAAACACUGCAAAAAUAAAAAACUGAUUUUUUAGUUAAACCAUAGAACAAUGGAAAGCCACAUUUAUAUUACAUCAAGGAACGAAAGCAAACCAUGAUACACACAUAUUACAUUAACGAUUGAUGCAAACAAAGAAAAUAAACAUGAACAACAACCUUCUUUAUUUUAUUGUAGAUUCGUUCACAUUAUUAUUUUAGAAGUUCAUUGUGUUGUUCAUAAGCAAGAUGAUCCCUUCCGCGAAUGUUGAAAUCGAUUAAUUCUUCAGAGGUAUUAUGUCCUGAAGAGACUUCCAAACAUCAAGAGUUGACCUCACACCCCCCAUAAUGUAGUCAUCUGAUCUUCCUGGUGUAAAAGUGAUACGCACAAAGUUAUCUCCUUUGAAAAGGUAAGCUUCAUUCGGGAUAUGAGAAGCAAAAGCCGCAUCGAUUCCCUUUUCAAAGAUCGUGUCUCGGAAACAAGUAAACCCGCUGUUGAUGUCCCUGAUAAUUUGAACAAGACUGUUCGUGCCAUAGUCUAUACGAGCAUACUUGUCUCCUCUGAACAAGUAAACCUCUUUGUUCAAAGUUGACCUGAAUGCGGCGUCUAUUCCAUGUUCAAAACCCGUUCCUUCUAAAAAAGGAAACAUUUCCGCAAUUUUCAUAGAACCUGAGAUUAUUUUGUCUUUGUCAGUGUGUGGAGUAUAUUCUAUCUUAGCACAAAGACCUUGAUAAAAGACGAACGCCUCAUUGUCAUCGGUGUCAAAGGCACAAUCUAUUCCAUUGCUUCCAAAUUUGGUAUUAUCAAGCGAUGGAAACCCAUGGCGAACAAAAAUAGGUCCAUAUAAAAUCUUAUCGUUGCUGGUUCCGGGAGCAUAAUCCAAUAGCAAGAGCUUAUCAUUGAUGAAAAAGUAUGCUUCAUUUUUUCUAGAUGAACGAAAUACUGCAUUUAUG